rnacentral:tRNA from 1 species
UCCCUGGUGGUUCAGUGGCUAAGACUCUGUGCUCCCAAUGCAGGUGUCCUGAGUUCGAUCCCUGGUCAGGGAA